rnacentral:rRNA from 1 species
GAUUUUGAUUCUGGAUCAAGGCUGGCGGCGUGCCUAUGCCUUGCAAGUCCAGCGGGGAUGGUACCUGAAUGUGAUGAGCUGGACUUGCCAUCUUAGCGGCGGACGGGUGAGUAACACGUGAGCAACCUACCCUCAUCACGGGGAUAACAGCUCGAAUGGGCUGCUAAUACCCGAUGGGACCACGUCAUUGCAUGGUGAUGUGGUGAAACGGUGGACGUACCGUCCAUGCCGGGUGAGGAUGGGCUCACCUCCCUUCAGCUAAUUGGUGGGGUAACGACCUACCCAGACGAUAACGGUUAGCCAGCCUGCCACGUUGACCCGCCUCAUUGGGACUGUAACACCCUACACACUCCAACAGGAGGCACCAGCCGGAAAUCUUGCGCAAUGGGCGAAAGCCUGACGCAGAGACGCCGCGUGAGGGAAGGAGCCCUUCGGGGUUUAAACCUCUUUGGACGGGGAGAAGUAGGAGAUAGUACCCCACAAAAAGCCACGGCUAACUACGUGCCAGCAGCCGCGGUAAUACGUAGGUGGCGAGCGUUGUCCGGAAUUACUGGGGGUAAAGGGUGGGUAGGCGGCCCGGUAAGUUGAGCGUGAAAUUUUCGGGCUCAACCCAAAAGGAGCGUUCAGGAAUGCCAGGGUUGAGGGCCGGAGAGGGGGGGGGAAUUUCCGGGGUAGCGGGGAAAAGGGUAGAUAUUGGGAGGAACUCCCAGGGGGGAGGGGGCCGUUUGGACCUUAACCGACGCUGAGGCAGGAAAGCGUGGGGAGCAAACAGCGAGUUAGAUCACUGUGGUAGUACUACGACUGUAAACGAUGGAUGCUAGGUGUGGGGGGAGCAGACCUCUUCCGUGCCGUAGUUAACACAAUAAGCAUGCAGUCUAGGAAGUACGUCCGCAAGGUUGAAACUCAAUAGAAUGUACGGGCGGCCGCACAAGCGGUGGAGCAUGUGGUUCAAUUGAAAGCAACGCGAAGAACCUUAUCAGGGCUGGACAUGGUCAGAACCCUUCCGAAAGGAGGGGGUGCCUAACCGAUGAGGUUAGGAGCCCGGACACAGGUGGUGCAUGGUUGUCGUCAGCUCGUGUCGUGAGAUGUCGGUUUAAGUCCCGCAACGAGCGCAACCCCUGCCCUUAUCAGCCAGCGGGCUGAGCCGGGCACCACAAGGGGACUGCCGCCGAUGAGGCGGAGGAAGGUGGGGAUGACGUCAAAUCAUCAUGCCAAAAAUGCCGUGGGAUACACACGUGCUACAAUGGGUGCUACAGAGGGCAGUGAAGGCGCGAGCCGGAGCGAAUCCCAAAAAAGCACCCCCAGUUCGGAUUGCAGGCUGCAACUCGCCUGCGUGAAGUCGGAAUAGUUAGUAAUCGCGGAUCAGCAUGCCGCAGUGAAUACGUUCCCGGGCCAUUACACACCGCCAGUCACGCCGUGAUAGUCAGCAUCCACUGAAGACCCUGGGCAGACUGUGUUGAAGGUGGGGCUGAUGAUUGGGGUU